GAUGAAGAACGUAGCGAAAUGCGAUAAGUAAUGUGAAUUGCAGAAUUCCGUGAAUCAUUAAAUCUUUGAACGCACAUUGCGCUCUUUGGUACUCCAAAGAGCAUAUCUGUUUGAGAAUCAGUUAAACUCUCAAUACUUUUUUCUUUUAUUCGUAAAAGAAAAUAAUGUAUUGGAUUUGGUUUUUAUUGACAACCAGUUGCCAAUUAAACUUAAAAUUAUUUCGUUUUGUGAGGUUAAUUCUUUUUAACUCCGAAAGCAUGACCAAAGAACGAAAGUUCUAAAUUGAUUGCUGAUAACGAGGUGUUUAGACUUUAAUCUCUUUUUAAUAAAGCGAUUUUUUUUUAACACGAAAAAAAAGUAAUUACUUUUUUUUUAAGACUUGAUCUCAAAUCAGAUAAGACUACCCGCUGAACUUAAGCAUAUCAAUAAGCGGAGGA
rnacentral:misc_RNA from 1 species